rnacentral:rRNA from 1 species
GACGAACGCUGGCGGCGUGCUUAACACAUGCAAGUCGAACGAAGUGGCGAACGGGUGAGUAACGCGUAAUCAACCUGCCCUUCAGAGGGGGUCACUAGUUGGAAACGACUGCUAAUACCCCCUACUGAUGGGGGGGUUUGCGUCUGAUUAGCUAGGUGGAGGGGUAACGGCCCACCAAGGCGAUGUUCAGUAGCCGGUCGGGGAGGAUGAACGGCCACAUUGGGACUUAGAAACGGCCCAGACUCCUACGGGAGGCAGCAGUGGGGAAUCUUCCGCAAUGGACGAAAGUCUGACGGAGCAACGCCGCGUGAGUGAUGACGGCCUUCGGGUUGUAAAGCUCUGUUAAUCGGGACGCGGUACCGGAAUAGAAAGCCACGGCUAACUACGUGCCAGCAGCCGCGGUAAUAC